AUACGGAGGGGGUUAGCGUUGUUCGGAAUAACUGGGCGUAAAGCGCACGUAGGCGGAAUGUUAAGUUAGAGGUGAAAUCCCAGGGCUCAACCCUGGAACUGCCUUUAAUACUGGCAAUCUACAGACCGAGAGAGGUGAGUGGAAUUCCGAGUGUAGAGGUGAAAUUCGUAGAUAUUCGGAGGAACACCAGUGGCGAAGGCGGCUCACUGGCUCGGUACUGACGCUGAGGUGCGAAAGCGUGGGGAGCAAACAGGAUUAGAAACCCUCAGUAGUCC
rnacentral:rRNA from 1 species